rnacentral:rRNA from 1 species
CCUACGGGAGGCAGCAGUGAGGAAUAUUGGACAAUGGGCGCAAGCCUGAUCCAGCCAUGCCGCGUGCAGGAAGACGCAUCUAUGGUGUGUAAACUGCUUUUGUACGGGAAGAAACACUCCCUCGUGAGGGAGCUUGACGGUACCGUAAGAAUAAGGAUCGGCUAACUCCGUGCCAGCAGCCGCGGUAAUACGGAGGAUCCAAGCGUUAUCCGGAAUCAUUGGGUUUAAAGGGUCCGUAGGCGGUUUAAUAAGUCAGUGGUGAAAGCCCAUCGCUCAACGAUGGAACGGCCAUUGAUACUGUUAGACUUGAAUUACUAGGAAGUAACUAGAAUAUGUAGUGUAGCGGUGAAAUGCUUAGAUAUUACAUGGAAUACCAAUUGCGAAGGCAGGUUACUACUAGUGGAUUGACGCUGAUGGACGAAAGCGUGGGGAGCGAACAGGAUUAGAUACCCUGGUAGUCCACGCCGUAAACGAUGGAUACUAGCUGUUGGGCGCAAGUUCAGUGGCUAAGCGAAAGUGAUAAGUAUCCCACCUGGGGAGUACGUUGCAAGAAUGAAACUCAAAUGAAUUGACGG